UUCCGUGGGGUACCUGCGGAGGGAUCAUUACCGAGUUUACAACUCCCAAACCCCUGUGAACAUACCUUAAUGUUGCCUCGGCGGAUCAGCCCGCGCCCUGUAAAACGGGACGGCCCGCCAGAGGACCCAAACUCUAAUGUUUCUUAUUGUAACUUCUGAGUAAAACAAACAAAUAAAUCAAAACUUUCAACAACGGAUCUCUUGGUUCUGGCAUCGAUGAAGAACGCAGCAAAAUGCGAUAAGUAAUGUGAAUUGCAGAAUUCAGUGAAUCAUCGAAUCUUUGAACGCACAUUGCGCCCGCUGGUAUUCCGGCGGGCAUGCCUGUUCGAGCGUCAUUUCAACCCUCAAGCCCCCGGGUUUGGUGUUGGGGAUCGGCUCUGCCUUACGGCGGUGCCGCCCCCGAAAUACAUUGGCGGUCUCGCUGCAGCCUCCAUUGCGUAGUAGCUAACACCUCGCAACUGGAACGCGGCGCGGCCAUGCCGUAAAACCCCAACUUCUGAAUGUUGACCUCGGAUCAGGUAGGAAUACCCGCUGAACUUAAGCAUAUCAAUAAGCGGAGGAA
rnacentral:rRNA from 1 species